AGCCAAUCAGCUUGGAUUACUGAGAGACACGCCUCCUCACUCUGAAGCCUAAUGCAGGCAUGCAGUGUGAAGGACCGCCCCUAUGUCUUCUGUUUACAUUAAGUUGGAAGAGAGACAAGCCCUAGUAACGGACCAGUGGAAAGGGACAGGGGACAUUAAUGAAAGCUGUUAUUAUAAGG